UCUGUAGGUGGUUUAAUAAGUCAACUGUUAGAUCUUGAGGCUCAACCUCAAAAUCGCAGUCGAAACUAUUAGACUAGAGUAUAGUAGGGGUAAAGGGAAUUUCCAGUGGAGCGGUGAAAUGCGUAGAUAUUGGAAGGAACACCGAUGGCGAAGGCACUUUACUGGGCUAUUACUAACACUCAGAGACGAAAGCUAGGGUAGCAAAUG
rnacentral:rRNA from 1 species